CCCGCACAAGCGGUGGAGCAUGUGGUUAAUUCGAAGCAACGCGAAGAACCUUACCAGGUCUUGACAUCCCCUGACAACCCGAGAGAUCGGCGUUCCCCUCGGGGGACAGGGUGACAGGUGGUGCAUGGUUGUCGUCAGCUCGUGUCGUGAGAUGUCGGGUUAAGUCCCGCAACGAGCGCAACCCUCGACCUUAGUUGCCAGCAUUCAGUUGGGCACUCUAAGGUGACUGCCGGCUAAAAGUCGGAGGAAGGUGGGGAUGACGUCAAAUCAUCAUGCCCCUUAUGACCUGGGCUACACACGUGCUACAAUGGGCGGUACAAAGGGUCGCGAACCCGCGAGGGGGAGCCAAUCCCAAAAAGCCGCUCUCAGUUCGGAUUGCAGGCUGCAACUCGCCUGCAUGAAGCCGGAAUCGCUAGUAAUCGCGGAUCAGCAUGCCGCGGUGAAUACGUUCCCGGGCCUU
rnacentral:rRNA from 1 species